rnacentral:rRNA from 1 species
GACGAACGCUGGCGGCGUGCUUAACACAUGCAAGUCGAGCGGAAAGACCCUGCGUUUGUGGGGUGCUCGAGUGGCGAACGGGGGAGUGAAACGUGAGUAACCUGCACUUGACUUUGUGGUAACUUCACGGAAAUGGGGCGAAUACCGGGUAGGAGCUCCUGCUGCAUGGUGUGGAUUGGAAAGUGUCGGCGGUGGGGGAUGGACUCGCGGCUUAUCAGCUUGUUGGUGGGGUAGUGGCUUACCAAGGCUUUGAAGGGUAGCCGGCCUGAGAGGGUGACCGGCGACAUUGGGACUGAGAUACGGCGCAGACUCCUAUGGGACGCAGCAGUCGGGAAUAUUGCACAAUGGGCGGAAGUCUGAUGCAGCAAUGUCGCGUGCGGGAUGACGGGCUUCGGGUGGUAAACCGCUUUCGCAUGUGACGAAGCGUGAGUGACGGUAAUGGGUAAAGAAGCACCGGCUAACUACGUG